GGGGCGGUGGUCUAGUGGUUAUGUCGCUCUGCCUAGUAUUGUUAUCCGUAUACCUGAAACCUAUAACCUCUUCGAUGGCAGAGAGGUCGGUGGUUCGAAUCCAUCCCGCUCCA
rnacentral:tRNA from 1 species